UACGGGGGGGUAAGCGUUGUUCGGAAUUACUGGGCGUAAAGGGCUCGUAGGCGGCCAACUAAGUCGGACGUGAAAUCCCUCAGCUUAACUGGGGAACUGCGUCCGAUACUGGAUGGCUUGGAUUGGGAGAGGGAUGCGGAAUUCCAGGUGUAGCGGUGAAAUGCGUAGAUAUCUGGAGGAACACCGGUGGCGAAGGCGGCAUCCUGGACCAAUAUUGACGCUGAGGUGCGAAAGCGUGGGGAGCAAACAGG
rnacentral:rRNA from 1 species